GAUUAUGGCUCAGAACGAACGCUGGCGGCAGGCCUGAGGCAUGCAAGUCGAACGAGAAAGUGUAGCAAUACACGAGUAGAGUGGCGCACGGGUGAGUAAUAUAUGGGAAUCUGCCCAGAAGUGGGGAAUAACAGUUGGAAACGACUGCUAAUACCGCAUACGCCGGAAACGGGAAAGAUUUAUCGCUUUUGGAUGAGCCCAUAUUGGAUUAGCUUGUUGGUGGGGUAAAGGCCUACCAAGGCGAUGAUCCAUAGCUGGUUUGAGAGAAUGAUCAGCCACACUGGAACUGAGACACGGUCCAGACUCCUACGGGAGGCAGCAGCUAGGAAUAUUGGACAAUGGGGGCAACCCUGAUCCAGCCCAUGCCGCGUGAGUGAAGAAGGCCUUCGGGUUGUAAAACUCUUUUAAUGGGGAAGAUGAUGACAGUACCCAUAGAAUAAGCACCGGCUAACUUCGUGCCAGCAGCAGC
rnacentral:rRNA from 1 species